rnacentral:rRNA from 1 species
UCCUACGGGGGGCAGCAGUGGGGAAUCUUCCACAAUGGGCGAAAGCCUGAUGGAGCAACGCCGCGUGGGUGAAGAAGGUCUUCGGAUCGUAAAACCCUGUUGUUAGAGAAGAAAGUGCGUGAGAGUAACUGUUCACGUUUCGACGGUAUCUAACCAGAAAGCCACGGCUAACUACGUGCCAGCAGCCGCGGUAAUACGUAGGUGGCAAGCGUUAUCCGGAUUUAUUGGGCGUAAAGGGAACGCAGGCGGGCUUUUAAGACUGAUGUGAAAGCCUUCGGCUUAACCGGAGUAGGGCAUUGGAAACG